AGUUCAGUUCAUCAGAAGAGAGCAGAAGCAGAGCCCAGCUGUGUGUCUAUGAAGAGUGACUGGUCUAUGACUCAACCAAUAUUUUUUAAGAGUGGAAACACAGGACCUGCUGUCAGCUCACGUAAGAGGAAGAGAGCAGAAGCAGAGCCCAGCUGUGUGUCUAUGAAGAGUGACGCGUCUAUGCAUACACCAAUGACAUUUAAGAGUGAAAACACACGACCUGCUGUCAGUGUGGAUAGAGAUGAUCAGACUGGAGACCUGC